ACGGCACUCUCACACCCAUCACACACAGCACUCUCUCACACAGCACUCUCACACCCAUCACACUCACAGCACUCUCACAGAGCACUCUCUCACACCCAUCUCACACAGCACUUUCACACACACAGCACUCUCUCACAGCACUCUCACACCCAUCACACUCACAGCACUUUCACAGAGCACUCUCACACAGCACUCUCUCACACCCAUCUCACACAGCACUCUCACACACGGCACUCU